rnacentral:rRNA from 1 species
CAAAAUGAGAGUUUGAUCCUGGCUCAGGACGAACGCUGGCGGCGUGCCUAAUACAUGCAAGUCGAGCGAGCAGAACCAGCAGAUUUACUUCGGUAAUGAUGCUGGGGACGCGAGCGGCGGAUGGGUGAGUAACACGUGGGGAACCUGCCCCAUAGUCUGGGAUACCACUUGGAAACAGGUGCUAAUACCGGAUAAGAAAGCAGAUCGCAUGAUCAGCUUAUAAAAGGCGGCGUAAGCUGUCGCUAUGGGAUGGCCCCGCGGUGCAUUAGCUAGUUGGUAAGGUAACGGCUUACCAAGGCAAUGAUGCAUAGCCGAGUUGAGAGACUGAACGGCCACAUUGGGACUGAGACACGGCCC